rnacentral:rRNA from 1 species
UACGUAGGGUGCAAGCGUUGUCCGGAAUUAUUGGGCGUAAAGAGCUCGUAGGUGGCUUGUCGCGUCUGCCGUGAAAGCCCAUGGCUUAACUGUGGGUCUGCGGUGGAUACGGGCUGGCUAGAGGUAGGUAGGGGCAAGCGGAAUUCCUGGUGUAGCGGUGGAAUGCGCAGAUAUCAGGAAGAACACCGGUGGCGAAGGCGGCAUC